ACCCUCUCAGGAUGGCACCUGUAGAGUUUCCAGGACUCUACAGUCUCGGCUGGGGGAGGGAGAGUCAAGCAGAGGCCUGUCCAUUCCAUUCUUAGCUUGGGCAGUGGCUAGUGAGCGGAAGGCAAUCCGCUACAGGU